GAUGGACGCUGGCGGCGUGCCUAAUACAUGCGAGUCGAGCGAACGGACGAGAAGCUUGCUUUUCUGAUGUUAGCGGCGGACGGGUGAGUAACACGUGGAUAACCUACCUAUAAGACUGGGAUAACUUCGGGAAACCGGAGCUAAUACCGGAUAAUAUUUUGAACCGCAUGGUUCAUAAGUGAAAGACGGUCUUGCUGUCACUUAUAGAUGGAUCCGCGCUGCAUUAGCUAGUUGGUAAGGUAACGGCUUACCAAGGCAACGAUGCAUAGCCGACCUGAGAGGGUGAUCGGCCACACUGGAACUGAGACACGGUCCAGACUCCUACGGGAGGCAGCAGUAGGGAAUCUUCCGCAAUGGGCGAAAGCCUGACGGAGCAACGCCGCGUGAGUGAUGAAGGUCUUCGGAUCGUAAAACUCUGUUAUUAGGGAAGAACAUAUGUGUAAGUAACUGUGCACAUCUUGACGGUACCUAAUCAGAAAGCCACGGCUAACUACGUG
rnacentral:rRNA from 1 species